CACCGCUCAUUAAUUACCAAGCAGGAGUGGAACACAUGGGCGCUUGGCUAUCUCUGCCUGCAGGAAAAAGCUGUGGCAAGUUAGGGAGGUGACCAAGACCGCCUUUUACCCAACUGCACAGAUGUGAGUGUGAGUGUGUGUGUGUGUGUGUGUGUGUGCACACACAACCAUAAGAGAUCCUGAAUUUGCCACCCUGGAAUUUGAGCUUUCACCCACGGAGCCUUGCCUCCGUUUACUCAGGAAGACACUUCUUGUUUGUCUUCAUUCCCUCCUACUGCAGCCAAAGGCCAUGACCCAAAAGCAGUGCCACCCCUGUUCUAGCUUUCCUGUGAAUGGCAGUGGCUGACCUCUGGGAGGCACUGACUGCGGGCCAGACCACACCCUUGGUGAUUCACAUGCUCCUUCUUGUUGCCUCCUGACAACAUGGCCCAUCAGUGGAAGUGGGGGACUUCCGCUGCCCGCUCCUGCCUGCAUCCGCUUCCUUGUCGUUGGUAACAGCACCCCACUUUCCUUCAAAGAACCACCUCCUCUUAAGUCUAAGUCCAUGUGGGCCAUCCAGGACUGACCCAUCCUUCCAGACUUCAAGUGUGGGCAUGGGACCCAGGCGGAGGCACUGAGUGAUCCACGCAGAGUGGGGCAUAUGACGUGGGCUGGGCCAAUGCCUCAAGGAUUCUUCUCGAUGAUCACUAUCUCAGCGGAGCUAUGUGCAGGCCCAGCAGCUCCCGUGGCCCCCUCCCCUACCUCUCAGGACCACCCAGGAAUUUCCAGGGAUGUGUGGCUGUGGCUGCUGAGGAUGUGAUGGGGUGAAGGCCAAGCCAGAUAUCGGGAAGGAAGAGAAGGAUCAGAUGUGAUGGAUGGGGCUGAGGGACAUCAUGUCAAUCAAUGGUUUCAGUCCUGGCAUUACCAGCAUCAGUGGGCUCAGAGCUGGCAGGGAAGCCUGACCUGUGUUUGGAAACUCUCCUCCGUCUGCCCCCCACCACCCCACCCCACCUUCCCUUACAGCCUCCUCUUCCCCUUGCCUGGACCUUAGGUCUCGGCCCACAGAGUCCUCCCUGGAUGCCUGAGACUCCCACUGCUCCUUCCAUCACUCUCGAUUCCAGGUUCAGGGGUUCUGGAUUCAGGAAGCUGUUGUGAGGAUCCUAUGAGAUGGUGGUUGCAAAGUGCUCAACAGGAUGCUUGGCCCAGGGUAAGUGCUCAGUAUCUUUUGAGAUUAUUAUUCCUGACUCAUCAUCUCCGACCUGACAGCAGCAAUCACAGCUACCAUUUUUCAGCCUCUCUGCAGCAUCUGACCCAGCUUCCCACUCCCGGCUCUCCUCCCACCUUCCUGGCCCCUCCUCCUCACCCUUCCCACCACUGGAGAGCCCCAGGGAUGCCCCCUUCUUCACCCACCCUCGCCUGCAGUAUCUCCUCCAGUCCUGAGGAUUUAAACUCCUCUAUGCUGACAACUCCCAAGCCUGGACCUCAAACUUGAACUCCAGACUCUCUUCUCCAGGUGUCCACUCCCCCAUCUCCAUCUCAAAUUCAACAUACCCAAAGCCCAACCCCCGAUCUUCUCCCUGAAACUUCCUCCUCCCGCCAUCUCCCUCUUCUGCCCAUGGCUCUGCCAUCCCUCCUGUCACUCAGGCCCAAACCUGGAUUCAUCCUUGAUGGCCUCCCCCAAGGUCCCAUCCAACAGCGGAUCCUGUUGGCUUUACUUUGAUAUAUGUUCAGAAUCUAACCACCCCUGACCCUGGCCCAGCAGCACCCUCUCUUGUCUGGAUCCUGCUGCUCCUCUCUGCUCUCCCUGCCUCUGCUUCCCCACCCCCUACAGUCUCUUGUCAGCGCUGCAGCCAGAAUGAUCCCUCUAAAGCGAAAGACAGGCCAGGUUCUUCCUCUGCUCAGAGCCCUACAGCAGGCACCUGUCUCACUCACAGUAAAAGCCAAAGCCCUCCCCAUGGCCUACAGGGACCUGUGUGGUCCGGCAGCUCUGCCUCCCCACCGUGUCACCCUUAGUCCUGCCUCAGGGCCUUUGCACUUGCUGCUCCCUGCCUGGGAAACUUCAUUCUAUAUAUUUACAUGGUUCACCCCUCACUUCCUUCAGUCUCUGCUCAGAUGUCACCUUUCAGUGAGGCCUUCCUGGGCCUGCCUUCCUGCUGCAUCUCUUCUCCAUAGAACACAUUCCCUCUAAUACUUUUUUUUUUUUUUGAGAUGGGAGUCUCACUCUGUUGC
rnacentral:lncRNA from 1 species